GUUUGUGUUCUGAUUUUUUGGCCAUGAGGCAUGUGGGAUCUUAACUUCCCAACCAGGGAUGGGACCAACAUCCCCUGCACUGGAAGGAUCAGGUGUCUGUGUCAUAAGGCCCUGGGACCUCUUGAGUAGAGAGGAAAGAGUGACAGACUAGAGGCAAUCUUCUCUUCCUUCCUCACAAGUUUGUCUCUGGCUCACGAGGGAGAAAAAAUAACAGGAGGAUUUUCCACUACCAGAAUCUCAAAGCCAGUCCUGGUCACCUGCUCAUGCAUUUUUGCCUCAGAAGCAUCUUUGCCUCUGUUUCUCCCUCUGGUCGACUCUUCAGGACUAAGCUUCUCUCUCCUCCUCUGCUUCUUUCCCUCUGCUGCUCCUGUGCCACCUCUCCCCUCCUUCUACCUUGCAUCAGACUUCCACACGGAGACAACAUGAAGGAGACAACCCCACCAGUGAGGGCUGCUCCCCCUGGAUCGAGUUCUUGCACCUAUCCUGGUAGAAUGAAUGAAAGCUCCAUGAAGUAAUCGAGACCAAUCUUUGCAAUAAAUAUUUCAAUAUUUCUUUCAAUAAACAUUUGUUG
ensembl:lncRNA